rnacentral:rRNA from 1 species
CACGUAGGGACCAAGCGUUGUCCGGAUUCAUUGGGCGUAAAGAGCUCGUAGGCGGCUGCUCAAGUCGAAUGUGAAAACUCGAGGCUCAACCUCGAGCCUGCAUUCGAUACUGGGCGGCUAGAGUCUGGUAGGGGGAUCUGGAAUUCCUGGUGUAGCGGUGGAAUGCGCAGAUAUCAGGAGGAACACCGGUGGCGAAGGCGGGAUCCUGGGCCAGUACUGACGCUGAGGAGCGAAAGCGUGGGGAGCGAACAGG